rnacentral:rRNA from 1 species
GAUGAGCGCUGGCGGCGUGCCUAAUACAUGCAAGUCGAGCGAAUGGAUUAAGAGCUUGCUCUUAUGAAGUUAGCGGCGGACGGGUGAGUAACACGUGGGUAACCUGCCCAUAAGACUGGGAUAACUCCGGGAAACCGGGGCUAAUACCGGAUAACAUUUUGAACCGCAUGGUUCGAAAUUGAAUGGCGGCUUCGGCUGUCACUUACGGAUGGACCGGCGUCGCAUUAGCUAGUUGGUGAGGUAACGGCUCACCAAGGCAACGAUGCGUAGCCGACCUGAGAGGGUGAUCGGCCACACUGGGACUGAGACACGGCCCAGACUCCUACGGGAGGCAGCAGUAGGGAAUCUUCCGCAAUGGACGAAAGUCUGACGGAGCAACGCCGCGUGAGUGAUGAAGGCUUUCGGGUCGUAAAACUCUGUUGUUAGGGAAGAACAAGUGCUAGUUGAAUAAGCUGGCACCUUGACGGUACCUAACCAGAAAGCCACGGCUAACUACGUGCCAGCAGCCGCAGUAA